ensembl:lncRNA
AGCUGUCAUGCUUAUGCACCACAGCAAUGUCCUGCAAGGUGGGAUAUCCUAAAGGUGCAAUAGUGGCAUUCAUGUCUCAGCAGUAAUCAAGAACAGUUUAACUCAUAGCCCACUCAAAAGGGAGGUUGUGCCCCUGAAUUCCUUCUGAAGAAUCCACUUUAGAAACAGCUACACUCAUAUUUUCUCCUUCCUCACAGGUCAGCAGCCUAGCCAAUCAGUCAGGCAAAAAUGAAUCAUGCAUUACAGCAGUGGUUCUCACCCUUCCUAAUGCUGUGACCCUUUAAUACAGGUCCUCAUGUUGAUGGUCUAGACAGUGGUUCCCACCCUUCCUAAUGCUGUGACCCUUUAAUACAGUUCCUCAUGUUGAUGGUCUAGACAGUGGUUCUCACCCUUCCCAAUGCUGUGACCCUUUAAUACAGUUCCUCAUGUUGAUGGUCUACACAGUGGUUCUCACCCUUCCCAAUGCUGUGUCCCUUUAAUACAGUUCCUCAUGUUGGUGGUCUAGACAGUGGUUCCCACUCUUCCUAAUGCUGUGACCCUUUAAUACAGUUCCUCAUGUUGAUGGUCUACACAGUGGUUCCCACCCUUCCUAAUGCUGUGUCCCUUUAAUACAGGUCCUCAUGUUGAUGGUCUACACAGUGGUUCUUACCCUUCCUAAUGCUGUGUCCCUUUAAUACAGUUCCUCAUGUUGGUGGUCUAGACAGUGGUUCCCACCCUUCCUAAUGCUGUGACCCUUUAAUACAGUUCCUCAUGUUGAUGGUCUACACAGUGGUUCUUACCCUUCCUAAUGCUGUGUCCCUUUAAUACAGGUCCUCAUGUUGAUGUUCUAGACAGUGGUUCUUACCCUUCCUAAUGCUGUGACCCUUUAAUACAGUUCCUCAUGUUGAUGGUCUAGACAGUGGUUCUCACCCUUCCUAAUGCUGUGACCCUUAAUACAGUUCCUUAUGUUGUGAUGACCCCCAACCUUAACAUUAUUUCAUUGUUACUUCAUAACUGUCAUUUUGCUACUGAGCAGUGUCGAAGUUCCUAAGAGUCUCACGAAUGUGCUUUCUGAUGAUCAUGACCCAUGGGUUGACAACUACUGUAGUAAAGCCACAGGUGUGGGCCAUCCAGUUUCACUUACUUUGUGGGCAUAUACUCGUCACAUAACCAUUCAAACCUCAAGAUAUUGCAGUGCCCACGGCUAGAAGUCCAAUUCCCUGUUAAAGUAUACUGAAGCCCCACAGGCUGGGACUUACUUUCCUACAAAACCCUGUGGACAGUACACACUGCUCAAGUGACAACUCAAGUGGCCAGGUUUAGGUUGCAUCAGCUGCUUCAGUGGCAGUAGGUAGUGAAAGCAGAAUCUUUUCCCCCUGAAAUGAUUUUUCCUUAGAAUGUACUAGGCUUAGGGAAGGGUUAAAGUAUUUCUACCUGCCUAUGGUGGUCAGCUUUCCAAAGCUUUUGUGCAGUCACAGGUCAUAAACAUGUUCAUCAGAUAUUUUCUCUCAUUCUCAUUUGUGACGGUUUUAUGUACAUUAGGCUGACCUCAAACUUCUGAUCCUUCUGCCUGCACUUCCUGAGGGCUGGGUUCCAGUUGUGUUCCAUACCCAGUUAAUGCGGUAUUGGAGAGGGAACUCAGGGCACCCUGAAAUGCUAGGCAAGCACUCCACCAACUGAGUACCUAUCCACCUCAUUUCCAUUUAUUGCCACCAGUCCUAGGAGGGUUACUCAUUCAUGCAAGAUAUGGUUCUAUUUGAUCCCUUUUGUAGUUUCCAAAGGGCAAGGCAUAGUUUGUUUCAAGUUAGAUAUCAUUUGUGAAGUAGUGGGCAAACCACACAGCAAUAUACAAGAAAUGCAGGUAUCAUGAGGACAAGUUGUUAUCAAAGAAAGGGUCAGCAGGAAAAGCUGCAAAUGGGUUCUAUUCUCUCAUGCCAACA